rnacentral:misc_RNA from 1 species
CUAAUGGACAGAGAGAAAGAGAAAGAGAAAGCAUAAGCACCUCCUCCUCUAUUUCCAUUUCCACAAUCUUCUUCUUAGAUCUUAGUUUCUCUGAAUUUCCCAUCUUGUCCUUUAUAAAAUGGAAUGCUGUGUUGAGUUUUGAUUGGUGCUAGAAGCAUCAGGCGAUUCCAGAUUGGAUUUAACAUACAGCACUUUGAUUUUUAUUGGGCACCAAUCAGAUUCUAUCUUUAU